GGGUUAUCAUCUCUUAAAGUGAAAUUUCAUACGGAAAUUUUCCACGCAAUUGUGACAUCAAUACCUCCACAGAUGCUUUUAUCUUAGAGAAAACCAGUAUCCCUGCACAUCAUAUACCUUGAAGCUCCUAACAUCCAAGGUGUUGCCUCACCAGGACUUAUUCAGCAUGUGCCCCAAGUCCCAUCAAAUGGGAGUAUCUGAUGUUGCUUCCUGCUAUCUGUGCUGUGGAAAGAUAUAUCCAACAAGCAAAGAGAAAACUAACAGAUAUGCAGCUUCUGAUGAAAUGGUUAGUUUGGACUCGACCAAUGAAUGGAGGUACCCUAUUUAGAGGCUGGAUUCACUGUCUGCAUCCUUUGAAUUCAGGCAGCAAAGUAUGAACAAAGACACAUGUGGUCCAUAGGCAGCUCCAGGAAAACAGAAAUGGUUGUGGUCUUCCAUGUAGGAAAGCUACUAGGUGCUAAACAGAAAGCUGUUACUAUUUUAUCUUACAGUUUCCUGAAUUUACAUUUUUUCUGCUACUUGUUCAAGUAAUGUUUUCUUUCAUUUUCUACUCUUGAGCUUCAGGGUAAGGAUCAUAUUAUAGUAAUGAUUAAUAAUAUGGAACAACAGGUGUGCAUGCCACUUUUCAGACAAGAAAUGGUAGGUCCUUAUAUCACCAAAAGUUUUUCUCCGACUACACACAGAACUCAAAAAGCAUGCAACAGACA